rnacentral:rRNA from 1 species
UCCGUAGGUGAACCUGCGGAGGGAUCAUUACACAAAUAUGAAGGCGGGCUGGAACCUCUCGGGGUUACAGCCUUGCUGAAUUAUUCACCCUUGUCUUUUGCGUACUUCUUGUUUCCUUGGUGGGUUCGCCCACCACUAGGACAAACAUAAACCUUUUGUAAUUGCAAUCAGCGUCAGUAACAAAUUAAUAAUUACAACUUUCAACAACGGAUCUCUUGGUUCUGGCAUCGAUGAAGAACGCAGCGAAAUGCGAUAAGUAGUGUGAAUUGCAGAAUUCAGUGAAUCAUCGAAUCUUUGAACGCACAUUGCGCCCUUUGGUAUUCCAAAGGGCAUGCCUGUUCGAGCGUCAUUUGUACCCUCAAGCUUUGCUUGGUGUUGGGCGUCUUGUCUCUAGCUUUGCUGGAGACUCGCCUUAAAGUAAUUGGCAGCCGGCCUACUGGUUUCGGAGCGCAGCACAAGUCGCACUCUCUAUCAGCAAAGGUCUAGCAUCCAUUAAGCCUUUUUUUCAACUUUUGACCUCGGAUCAGGUAGGGAUACCCGCUGAACUUAAGCAUAUCAAUAAGCGGGAGGA